rnacentral:rRNA from 1 species
CUCCUACGGGGGGCAGCAGUAGGGAAUCUUCGGCAAUGGGCGAAAGCCUGACCGAGCAACGCCGCGUGAAUGAAGAAGGCCUUCGGGUUGUAAAAUUCUGUUAUAAGGGAAGAAAGGUGAUAGGAGGAAAUGACUAUCAAUUGACGGUACCUGACUAAGAAGCCCCGGCUAACUACGUGCCAGCAGCCGCGGUAAUACGUAGGGGGCAAGCGUUAUCCGGAUUUACUGGGUGUAAAGGGAGCGUAGACGGCGAUGCAAGUCUGAAGUGAAAGGCGGGGGCCCAACCCCCGGACUGCUUUGGAAAC